GCCUUUGUGGUGUAGUGAUCAGUACGCUUGAUGCGUAUUCAAGAAGUCCAUGGUUCGAGUCCUGGAAAAGGCA
rnacentral:tRNA from 1 species